rnacentral:rRNA from 1 species
GAUGAACGCUAGCGGCAGGACUUAAUACAUGCAAGUCGAGGGGCAGCAGUCCCGCAGCAAUGCGGGAGCUGGCGACCGGCAAACGGGUGCGGAACACGUACAGAACCUUCCUUCGAGCGGGGAAUAGCCCAGAGAAAUUUGGAUUAAUACCCCAUAGCAUUACGAAGUGGCAUCACUUUGUAAUUAAAGAUUUAUCACUCGAAGAUGGCUGUGCGGCUGANAGGUAGUUGGCGGAGUAACGCCCACCAAGCCUUCGAUCAGUAACUGGUGUGAGA